rnacentral:rRNA from 1 species
GGGAGGCAGCAGUGAGGAAUCUUGCACAAUGGGCGAAAGCCUGAUGCAGCGACGCCGCGUGGGGGAUGAAGCUUUUCGGAGUGUAAACCCCUUUCGACCCGGACGAAUGCCCCGCAAGGGGACUGACGGUACGGGUAUAAGAAGCCCCGGCUAACUACGUGCCAGCAGCCGCGGUAAGACGUGGGGGGCCAGCGUUGCUCGGAAUUACUGGGUGUAAAGGGUUCGUAGGCGGUGUGGCAAGUCGGGAGUGAAAUCUCUGGGCUUAACUCAGAGACUGCUUCCGAAACUGCUGUGCUUGAGUGUGGGAGAGGCGCGUGGAAUUGCAGGUGUAGCGGUGAAAUGCGUAGAUAUCUGCAGGAACACCCGUGGCGAAAGCGGCGCGCUGGACCACUACUGACGCUGAGGAACGAAAGCUAGGGGAGCAAACAGGAUUAGAUACCCGGGUAGUCCC